rnacentral:rRNA from 1 species
GUAGUUAGCCGGGGCUUCCUCACAGGGUACCGUCAUUUGUUUCGUCCCCUGCGACAGAGGUUUACAAUCCGAAAACCUUACUUCCCUCACGCGGCGUUGCUGGGUCAGGCUUGCGCCCAUUGCCCAAUAUUCCUCACUGCUGCCUCCCGUAGGAGUCUGGACCGUGUCUCAGUUCCAGUGUGGCCGAUCAGCCUCUCAGCUCGGCUACCCAUCGUCGGCUUGGUGGGCUGUUAUCCCGCCAACUACCUAAUGGGACGCGAACCCCUCCUUUACCGGAUCUCUCCUUUGACCCCUUUGCCAUGUGACAUUGUGGUCUUAUGCGGUAUUAGCACUCGUUUCCCAGUGUUAUCCCCCUGUAAAGGUCAAGUUGUUCACGCGUUACUCACCCGUUCGCCACUCAGAUAUCUACCGAAAUAAAUAUCUCCGUUCGACUUGCAUGUGUUAGGCACGCCGCCAGCGUUCGUCCUGAGCCAGAAUCAAACUCUGA